AGCUUUGCACAGUGGCAGUAUCAUAGCCAAUGAGGUUUAUCCGAGACACGAUUAUUGCUAAUUGAAAACUUUUCCCAAUACCCCGCCAUGACAACUUGAAAUAUAGUUGGCACUGGCAAUUUUUGAGACUGAUAAAAAAAA
rfam:Erinaceus europaeus unplaced genomic scaffold scaffold00821, whole genome shotgun sequence